UGGGGAAUAUUGGACAAUGGGCGAAAGCAUGAUCCAGCCAUGCCGCGUGUGUGAAGAAGGUCUUCGGAUUGUAAAGCACUUUAAGUUGGGAGGAAGGGCAGUAAGCGAAUACCUUGCUGUUUUGACGUUACCGACAGAAUAAGCACCGGCUAACUCUGUGCCAGCAGCCGCGGUAAUACAGAGGGUGCAAGCGUUAAUCGGAAUUACUGGGCGUAAAGCGCGCGUAGGUGGUUCGUUAAGUUGAAUGUGAAAGCCCCGGGCUCAACCUGGGAACUGCAUCCAAAACUGGCGAGCUAGAGUAGGGCAGAGGGUGGUGGAAUUUCCUGUGUAGCGGUGAAAUGCGUAGAUAUAGGAAGGAACACCAGUGGCGACGGCGACCACCUGGGCUCAUACUGACACUGAUGUGCGAAAGCGUGGGGAGCAAACAGG
rnacentral:rRNA from 1 species